rnacentral:tRNA from 1 species
GUUGCUGUACUUUAAGAAAAAGAAUUGGCUUGCAACCAAAAAUUGGAAAAAAGCUUCCCAGCGACC